rnacentral:tRNA from 1 species
GGGAAGGUGGCUCAGUGGUAGAGUGCUUGCCUGGCAUGCACGAAGCCCUGGGUUCGAUUCCCCAAUACCA